UACCCUUGAUCUCUAAGAUCCCUAAUAUAGAUCUACGACCUUCAUUCAUCCAAGAGCCAAUUUUGUUACUAAGACUGAUAGCUUUUAUAAGUGGUCAAGAAAGCAUUUUUUUGGUAAAUCUAACUUCACCAUUGUAUUCAAAACAUCUUUUUAUGAUAAGAUCUACUACUCACAUACCUCAAUCCAUGCUCAAUUGCAAUUUUCAUGGAAGUUUUUACUUAAAAGGAUCUUGGCAAUUUUUUGUAAAAUUCUUCAAAAUGAGAAUUUCAUUGCUUCACUUGUAUUUUGAAAGAGAGGGUGCUGAUCUUAUUUUCUUCACUCUAUGAGGUGAAUCCGGUGCCAUCAUUGCAUUAAAAAGGCUCCCAUUAAUUAAAAGAACCACUAUGCUGCUUGAAUUUGUCGAAUUUGGAGGAAAGCUCAAAACUAUCAUUACUAAACUUCAUUAAAUCUUUUAAAGAAUUAUAAUUCUAACUCAUUCUAA
rnacentral:lncRNA from 1 species